rnacentral:lncRNA from 1 species
UUUUUUAGAGAUAUUCUAAGCCCCCACAAAGUCUAGGCACGAAACUGAUCAUCAUUAACCAGUAAUUACUCUUCUGUUUUUUUUUUCUCUUCUCUAUACAUAUUUUGUACUAAAAAGAAAAGAAAAAUACAUUUCCCUAUAUAUUUUAUUUUUUGAAGAAAACACAAAACAAAAGGACCUUCACCAAUGCGCCUCCUUCAGCGGUAAUAAGCUGUGUAUAUAGUCACAUGAAUAAUGUGGUUUCAGUUGCUCAAAAAAAAAGAAUAAUGUGGUUUCAGUUGCUCAAAAAAAAAAAGAAUAAUGUGGUUUCAUCAAUGAGACUGACAUUUGACCAUAUUCUA